AUCGUUCAUCCUAUUCUUGGGACGGAAGUAAGUAAUAAUACUGAAGGAACGCAUC
ncrna:unclassified sequences Glutamine riboswitch